CUCGGAUCAGGUAGGGAUACCCGCUGAACUUAAGCAUAUUCAAUAAG
rnacentral:rRNA from 1 species